AAACUUUCAACAAUGGAUCUCUUGGUUCCGGCAUCGAUGAAGAACGCAGCGAACUGCGAUAAGUAAUGUGAAUUGCAGAAUUCAGUGAAUCAUCGAGUCUUUGAACGCACAUUGCGCCCCCUGGCAUUCCGGGGGGCAUGCCUGUCCGAGCGUCAUUG
rnacentral:rRNA from 52 species